rnacentral:sRNA from 1 species
UCCAGAACUUUUGUGCCUCACCGAUGGU